GGGCACGUAGCGCAACGGUAGCGCGCCUGUAUGGCAUGCAGGAGGCUGGGGGUUCAAAUCCCCCCGUGUCCA
rnacentral:tRNA from 1 species